AUGCUAAGUAAUAAAUCUGAAAAUGAUAUUCACCUGUAAGCAGAUAUUUUAAUUUCAUUGUGCCGAGCACAAUAUCUGAUGAAUGAAAAUAAUGUCUAUACCCUCAAUGCAGGAUUUAUAUUUACAAAUGAGUUACAUUUUUGCAAGUUUGUGUAGUUAUACACAGUGUGGUUUAUUUUCUAGUCUCAAAAUCUCCCUAUUGAUCUUUAUAUUUAGUUUUAAACAGAAAGAGCCUGUGCAUCUCUCAGAUGAAUGUGAACUCAACAUUAGUAUCAUUUUAGUAUCAUUGUUGUUUUCCCUCCCAGUAGAUGCAUCAUUGUGUCAAGAGGUGGAGCUCUCCGAUUAGUUGACUUGACUUGGCUUGUUUUCUGUUGUGGAAUGGAAUCACAUCAUUGUCACUCUUUGUAAGAGGAUCAACCAACAUGUGUCUUGCUGUCUUUGUCAUUUUGGUUCUUCAUAUAGGGAACAUCCUGACAAACAUGAUAACGUCUCAUCAUGACUCCCAAAAACAAGUUUUAGAAGGUGAAAGCGUAAAACUCACAUGUAACUACAGCGGAGUACCUGAUACUCUCCAGUGGUACACUGAAUAUCCCGGAUCUACACCAAAGUUCCUCCUCUACAUCUAUGAAAGUGGCUUGAAAAGUGAAAACAUACCAGAGCGUUUAACGCCAAGAAUUAAUAAAAAUACAAAACGUGUGGAUCUGGAGAUCUCCUCUGCUGAAGUGUCAGACUCUGCUGUGUAUUACUGCGCCCUGAAGCCCACAGUCACAGGAAACACAACUACACUAUGAUGAGAUGUGUGGGCGGAGCUUUCAG